rnacentral:rRNA from 1 species
AGCGAACGCUGGCGGCAGGCUUAACACAUGCAAGUCGAGCGGGCGUAGCAAUACGUCAGCGGCAGACGGGUGAGUAACGCGUGGGAACGUACCUUUUGGUUCGGAACAACACAGGGAAACUUGUGCUAAUACCGGAUAAGCCCUUACGGGGAAAGAUUUAUCGCCGAAAGAUCGGCCCGCGUCUGAUUAGCUAGUUGGUGAGGUAAUGGCUCACCAAGGCGACGAUCAGUAGCNGGUCUGAGAGGAUGAUCAGCCACAUUGGGACUGAGACACGGCCCAAACUCCUACGGGAGGCAGCAGUGGGGAAUAUUGGACAAUGGGCGCAAGCCUGAUCCAGCCAUGCCGCGUGAGUGAUGAAGGCCCUAGGGUUGUAAAGCUCUUUUGUGCGGGAAGAUAAUGACGGUACCGCAAGAAUAAGCCCCGGCUAACUUCGUGCCAGCAGCCGCCGUAAG